CCUACGGGAGGCAGCAGUGAGGAAUAUUGGUCAAUGGGCGCGAGCCUGAACCAGCCAAGUCGCGUGAGGGAGGACGGCCCUACGGGUUGUAAACCUCUUUUGCCGGGGAGCAACGGGCGCCACGUGUGGCGUCACUGAGAGUACCCGGAGAAAAAGCAUCGGCUAACUCCGUGCCAGCAGCCGCGGUAAUACGGAGGGUGCGAGCGUUAUCCGGUUUUAUUGGGGUUAAAGGGUGCGUAGGCGGAUCGUUAAGUCAGUGCUCAAAUUGAGGGGCUCAACCCCUUCCCGCCAUUGAAACUGGCGUUCUUGAGUGGAAGAGAGGUAUGCGGAAUGCGUGGUGUAGCGGUGAAAUGCGUAGAUAUCACGCAGAACCCCGAUUGCGAAGGCAGCAUGCCGGCUUCCGACUGACGCUGAAGCACGAAAGCGUGGGGAUCGAACAGGAUUAGAUACCCCUGUAGUC
rnacentral:rRNA from 1 species